rnacentral:rRNA from 1 species
UUGGAGGGCAAGUCUGGUGCCAGCAGCCGCGGUAAUUCCAGCUCCAAUAGCGUAUAUUAAAGUUGUUGCAGUUAAAAAGCUCGUAGUUGAAUUUCGGGGUUAGUAGGUUGGUCAUGCCACUGGUAUGUACUGGUCUCACUGAUUCCUCCUUCCUGAUGAGCCGUAAUGCCAUUAAUUUGGUGUUGCGAGGAAUCUGGACUGUUACUUUGAGAAAAUUAGAGUGUUUAAAGCAAGCUAACGCUUGAAUACAUUAGCAUGGAAUAAUGAAAUAGGACGUUCGAUCCUAUUUUGUUGGUUUCUAGGAUUGACGUAAUGAUUAAUAGGGAUAGUUGGGGGCAUUAGUAUUCAAUUGUCAGAGGUGAAAUUCUUGGAUUUAUUGAAGACUAACUACUGCGAAAGCAUUUGCCAAGGAUGUUUUCAUUAAUCGAGAACGAAAGUUAGGGGAUCGAAGACGAUCAGAUACCGUCGUAGUCUUAACCAUAAACUAUGCCGACUAGGGAUCGGAUGAUGUUAAUUUUUUAAUGACUCAUUCGGCGCCUUACGGGAAAC